rnacentral:snRNA from 1 species
GAAAGAUUAGCAUGGCCCUUGCGCAAGGAUGACACGCACAAAUUGAGAAACGAAUAAUUAUAUG